rnacentral:rRNA from 1 species
GGUGAACGUUAGCGGGAGGCCUAACACAUGCAAGCCGAGCGGGAUUUGAGACUAGCUUGCUAGUCUUAAUGAGAGCGGCGUACGGGUGCGGAACACAUGUGCAACCUGCCUUUAUCUGGGAGAUAGCCUUUCGAAAGGAAGAUUAAUAUCCCAUAAUAUAAUGAUUGGCAUCAAUUAUUAUUGAAAGCUCCGGCGGAUAGAGAUGGGCACGCGCAAGAUUAGAUAGUUGGUGAGGUAACGGCUCACCAAGUCGAUGAUCUUUAGGGGGCCUGAGAGGGUGAUCCCCCACACUGGUACUGAGACACGGACCAGACUCCUACGGGAGGCAGCAGUGAGGAAUAUUGGACAAUGGGUGAAAGCCUGAUCCAGCCAUCACGCGUGAAGGAUUAAGGACCUAUGGUUUGUAAACUUCUUUUCUACAGGGAUAAACCUACUCUCGUGAGAGUAGCUGAAGGUACUGUAGGAAUAAGCACCGGCUAACUCCGUGCCAGCCGCCGCCGUAAUAC